ACAAUGAUACUUCCGUCCAGUCCCAGCCCCCACCGGAAUGGGGAUCAAGCAAGGAGGGCGGCCGCGAGAGAUCCUCGCGGGGGUGAGACUCCCAUGA
ncrna:unclassified sequences pemK RNA